ensembl:lincRNA
GGAAGAAUGAGCCUCCAGCAGUUUUCAGCCUCUCUUUGGAGCCACUCUCAAAUUUCUGAGGCCGCCUUUGGUUACCACAGACUUUCAGUCAAGGAUGGCCUAUCUGCAGCACACCAAAAAAAAAAAAAAGAAAAGAAAAGAAAUUAGCAAGCUACCUAGAAAGGUACCUGCAAGAAGAGAUGUAUCCAUAUUCUGCCACGUCAUUCUCCAAAGUGGUUCUACGGAUUUGGGGGCCUGCGGCGAGCAGGGUAGUGCAUCAUGGUAGAGAACACAAUGGAGAAAGCUGCCCCCCUCGUGGCACCUGUGAAGCAAAGGAAGAGACUGGGGUCCCACAGCUCCCUCUGGCGCACUCCUGGAGACCAGAGUCACCUGUAAAGGUCCCAUUACCUCCCAGCGGCAACACAGGCCGGAGACCAAGUAUGGGACACGUGGGUCCUGAGGGACAUCCCACAUCCCAUCCAGCAAGGACGGGCCUCGGAUCUCUCAAGGUGGAAUGGGUCACACAGUCAGUGUUUCCGGUGCUGUGCUGUCUCCUGGGCUGAGAGAGGCUGAGACAAAAUUUUGGAAGUCUCCAGACCUCUCUAACAAGGAUGUCCCACAGCCACAUCCUAUCCUGCUUCCCUGGAGUUUUUGAAGCUAUAGCGUGUCAGAAAGUGCUUAUUUGUGAUUUAUCUGGCUCUUUUGUACCUCUUGUUUAAUAAAAUAAAUGUAUAUCAUAUACUCCAACCAAGAGAAAAUAGCGAUUUUCCCCACUUCCUCUGUUUAGACUAUCAAGCCAUAAACCCCCCAUCCCCACCCCACCACACACACACACACACACACACACACACACACACUCACCCUGAGCAUCAGCGAAGGUGCUCUCCCCACAGCUUCACCUCGGCUUGCAGAGUUGACCCUCCUCCUGUGGGGCACCAGGACGGGCACCAUGCUGUGCUGCAUGGUUGCGCUGCUAUUUGGUAAGUCACUGGUCAGGGGCAUCACCUCCUGAGACACUGAGGUCUGUAACUGGUUCCUGAGACACAAUUCCUGACCUUUCCUUUCCGGAUUCAACUGAGUUUGUGGGUAGUGCUUGAGAAAAGUGCACACCCCUGUUUAUGCUUGGGGUCGAUGGGCACAGAGGCUUGGAGGAUCCUUUCUGUUUACUAUCCUGCCUUCCUGCAUUCUGAUCAGAGCAGCUUCUCCGUGUGUCAGAGAUAGACUAGGAAAACAGAAAAAUCACAGCCUGGGGCCUCCUUGUUACCCAGUGGGGUUUUCACCCAGUGAAAUCGGGUUAAAAUAAUCAUCGGGGCUGUCUCAAAAGGAAAACCAAAAUUACAAUGGGAAAGAGAGGCUGCUGAGGGGAUCAAAGAACAGAUCAGAGACAUGGGGACAGAAGUUCCAUGAACUGUUUUCAGCAACAGAAGGUGAGAAUGUGCUUUUGUGAAGACGCUGUUUUCUUAGAACCUUUUACCAAUAGCCAGACUUCUCACUCGGGGAUACAAAGCUUUUUUCAAAUUGACCCUUCCUCUUCUGCCCAUACUCUUUCUCUGUUGGAAGUGAGGGGAUGAGGGUCCUGCCUGGUUCUUGGGGCUGAUUCACAGGGUCCAGUCUGUUUUCUCUGAUCCCUGUUGCUCUCUCCCUCCAUUCUCCCGGUGCCCCCCAGUCACGAGGACUACUG